UUUUUUUUUUUUUUUUACUUUUUAGUUUUUUGUAGAGAUGAGAUCUUGCUUAUGUUGCCCAGGUUGGUCUUGAACUCCUCAGCUAUAGCAGUCCUCCCACCUCAGCUUCCCAAAGUGUUGGGAUUAUAGGUGUAAGCCACCACACCUGGCCACUUAUUUAUUUUUCUUUUUUCUUUUUUUUUUUUUUUGAGAUGGAGUCUCACUCUGUCACCCAGGCUAGAAUCUCUAAAACAGUGGUGCUCAACUUGCCUGGCUGUUCAAUCUUGCCUUUCUUCCUGGAUAAAGGAGAGAAUGAGGCCACUUGGUAGUGGUCAAGCCCUGGGGACCAAGCCUUCCAUGGAGGGGUUCUUGGUAAGUUUUAGGUUGUAUUACCUGCCCUUUAAGCAGGAGUGAAUUACAGUAAC
rnacentral:lncRNA from 1 species